GAAAUGCGAUACUUGGUGUGAAUUGCAGAAUCCCGUGAACCAUCGAGUUUUUGAACGCAAGUUGCGCCCUAAGCCUUCGGGCCGAGGGCACGCUUGCCUGGGUGUCACGCACCGAGUCACCCCCUUCAACUCCUUUCUUUGCGUCUUCUGGCGACAUUGAUAUCAGAGAGUGGACGGGGGCGGAGAUUGACCCCCCGUGCCUUGCGGUGCGGUCGGUCUAAAUAAAGGCCCUGGGAGGCCAGCGUCACGAUUCGUGGUGGUCGACACUUGUUGUCUCUCCUCAUUCCGAAAUCCGUGUGUGCUGUGCCGCCGUGAAGGACCACAAGGACCCCAUCGGGCCGUUAAUGCGGCACCCACUCUGCGACCCCAGGUCAAGCGGGACUACCCGCUGAAUUUAA
rnacentral:rRNA from 1 species